ensembl:snoRNA LOC120103256 small nucleolar RNA SNORD113/SNORD114 family
UGGAUCAAUGAUGACUACAAAUUGUGGGUGUUGUGUGUCAUGAAUGAUGACUAAAAGUUUUUGAGUCUGGGGUCCAU